AGCUAGGAGGUCAAAGGGGGAAGCUAGGGAACUUGAUUCAGACAUUAAAGGGGAUUCAAAAUCGUGUUUGAGGUGACCGCUAAAGGACUAAAGGUUGAUCGUUCUCAAGGGUUGUUCUUUAAAUCAUUCUAGCUCGAAUCUGAGGUAAAGGCAAGAGGAA